GUAAAUGGAAAAAGCUCUUCAGGCGAAAACAAAAUGAUGGGGUUUUUGGGAUAUUUUUGGGGAAAAGACCUGUUUUGAUGAAACCAGGGUGGGUUUUGUUGUGGUGUAUAAAAGCUAGUUAGUGUUGGUUUUUUUUUUCUUAUAUGUUGUUUUUUGCUAGUUUUCAGUUAAAGCUAUCCACUUAGAUCCAAAAAACAACAUAUAAGAAAAAAAAAAC
rnacentral:misc_RNA from 1 species